ACCCGCUGAACUUAAGCAUAUCAAUAAGCGGAGGAAAAGAAACCAACAGGGAUUGCCUCAGUAACGGCGAGUGAAGCGGCAACAGCUCAGAUUUGAAAUCUGGCUCCGUGUCUUGGGGCCCGAGUUGUAGUCUGCAGAGGAUGCUUCCAGGUGGCGCUGGGACCCCAAGUCCUGUGGAAUCAGGGCGCCAGAGAGGGUGAGAGCCCCGUCUAGGGUCCCAGGUUGCUGCUGCUCUGUGUAGCUCCUUCGACGAGUCGAGUUGUUUGGGAAUGCAGCUCUAAAUGGGUGGUAAAUCUCAUCUAAAGCUAAAUACCGGCCAGAGACCGAUAGCGCACAAGUAGAGUGAUCGAAAGAUGAAAAGCACUUUGAAAAGAGAGUCAAACAGCACGUGAAAUUGUUGAAAGGGAAGCGCUAGCAACUAGACUUGGCCUGUGGCUGUUUCUAUGGCGGUGGGGGCCUGCAAUUCCUUGCGGCCCUCCCGCCUUCAGUCUGCAGGCUGGGCCAGCAUCAGCGCAGUCGGGCAGCAGUAAGCGCCAGUGUGGAAUGUGGCUCCCCUCGGGGAGCGUUAUAGCCCACUGUGCCUGCCGCUGCCACGCUGUGCUGAGGAUCAUGCCCAGGGCCUCGUGCCCGGGGCUUGGAUGCUUGGCGUAAUGGUUGC
rnacentral:rRNA from 1 species